rnacentral:rRNA from 1 species
UAACACGUGGGUAACCUGCCUGUAAGACUGGGAUAACUCCGGGAAACCGGGGCUAAUACCGGAUGCUUGAUUGAACCGCAUGGUUCAAUCAUAAAAGGUGGCUUUUAGCUACCACUUGCAGAUGGACCCGCGGCGCAUUAGCUAGUUGGUGAGGUAACGGCUCACCAAGGCGACGAUGCGUAGCCGACCUGAGAGGGUGAUCGGCCACACUGGGACUGAGACACGGCCCAGACUCCUACGGGAGGCAGCAGUAGGGAAUCUUCCGCAAUGGACGAAAGUCUGACGGAGCAACGCCGCGUGAGUGAUGAAGGUUUUCGGAUCGUAAAACUCUGUUGUUAGGGAAGAACAAGUACCGUUCGAAUAGGGCGGCACCUUGACGGUACCUAACCAGAAAGCCACGGCUAACUACGUGCCAGCAGCCGCGGUAAUACGUAGGUGGCAAGCGUUGUCCGGAAUUAUUGGGCGUAAAGCGCGCGCAGGCGGUUUCUUAAGUCUGAUGUGAAAGCCCCCGGCUCAACCGGGGAGGGUCAUUGGAAACUGGGGAACUUGAGUGCAGAAGAGGAGAGUGGAAUUCCACGUGUAGCGGUGAAAUGCGUAGAGAUGUGGAGGAACACCAGU